rnacentral:sRNA from 1 species
CACUUCCCCAAUAUAUGUGAAUUUUGUCAUUACCCUGAGCUUUUGAUCGAUUCGGUUCCGGGAAUACUUGUCAGCACAUUCGUGAUAACUUAUCAAGGCCGUUCUCUUUUUCCGUGCGACAUUCAGCCCAUCCGAUUACUGUCGGAGCUCGCAUCCUUAUGAUUAUCUCUCUUUCCCCCUGUUUCUGCAUUAUUAUUCUCUGAAUUACAUCAAGUCAAUAUGUUAUGUCUUUGGUGCACUGCCAGCCUCACCCUGUUUCGUGAACAAUUUUUAAUAUGAUGUUUAAGACUUAUGUUUGUUUCACUUUCUUCUAUCCUUCUAUCGGCUGGCGAGAAUUCCAAUUCCAAACGGCAUUUUUGAGGAAAUGGAGUAUUUCCUCACCAGCUAUGGCUUAAACCAGACUACUCUACCGUUAUUCGUACAAAAGCCAUUAAAUGUGCAAGCAGUGAUAUAAUUGCACAUUUAUUUGUCAUUUCCCUUCCAUUCUUCGUACGGAGAUCUAACUGGUCCUAUACAUGGUGGUAUAGGCUUCAAAAUCAUUCCAAAGGCGUAUUACAUAAAGUAAUCGUAUGGCCGCAGUGAAGUGUACAGAUUUUACAUUCAACUUGACUACAUCUAUCUACCCAUUUCAAGAACCACCUUCAACUGAUGUGGUUUUAGCUCUUCUAAGAUGGCAACUAUCUGUUCCUUGAGAAGUCUUAACCGUGUAUGUGAAGUCGACUACUCUAUUGUGCUGGACAUCACAGGUCAGUGAACAAAUCUAUCUGGCAUAAUGCUGUGCAGCCACUGGGACAUUGGUCGGAAAUCAUCACAGACCUACCGCGACCAAAGGAAGGAUUAGAAAUAAUCACUCUUUUCUAAAUGAAGAGAGAAGAAAUGGAAGCGAUGGUAUGGGAUGUAUAGUACCCGAAAAAAAAAAAAAGAAAGCAAAAAGCAAAAAGUUCACAUCGAAGUGCCCGCGUUUCAGGGCAGUCCGAUGCUAUGAAAACCCCCCG